UACAGAGGGGGCAAGCGUUGUUCGGAAUUACUGGGCGUAAAGGGCGCGUAGGCGGCCUGCUAAGUCGAACGUGAAAUCCCCGGGCUCAACCCGGGAACUGCGUCCGAUACUGGCAGGCUUGAAUCCGGGAGAGGGAUGUGGAAUUCCAGGUGUAGCGGUGAAAUGCGUAGAUAUCUGGAGGAACACCGGUGGCGAAGGCGGCGACCUGGGUAGAUACUGACGCUGAGGCGCGAAAGCGUGGGGAGCAAACAGG
rnacentral:rRNA from 1 species